rnacentral:lncRNA from 1 species
UCUGCAUUCUCCUCCUACUCCUACUCCUACUCUGCACCAACCAAAAGGAACCUUACCUUCAACCUUACUAGUUGCAUUUCUGAUUCAUUGCUCUUUUAUUUGCAUAUAUAUAUAUAUAUAUAUAUAUAUACACAUAUGUAGGACUCCUCCACAAAUAUCUCUCAAGAUUUCUAACUGAGGUUUCCUUGAAGAGGAAAAAGUUGAGGUUUUUAUACAAUCUACUACAACAAUGAAAGUUUUCUCUUUUUCAGAAAAAAAAAACAACAACAAAAAAAAAAACAAUAUCCAACGCUAAUCCUUUUCGUGAAUCUAAUCUAGGUGUUAUCGAUUUUACAAGUCAUAUCUCAUGAUGACGGUAUUCCAGCAACCAGCUCCUGGGAUCUUCUGGAAUG